UUGCUUUACAAUAUUUAAAACUGAAAUGAUCUACUAAAUCAAUAUAAAAGUCAUUGAAAAAAAUCUCUUGUUUUUAUGUCAGCUAAGAGCCUAAGUACUUAUAAAAUUAAAAGUAUUUUUAAUAAAAGAAUUAUAAAAUCUGAAGGAAUAAAUUCACAUCUCUAAGAGCCAUUUCCAGUCUCCAAGCUAUUUGAGGCAACAUUAUAGAAAUAAUGAAACUGACAUCAACAUGCAGGUAAGAAGAAAUAAUCUGUGCUUAAAUCAGUUAUAUGUUAGGUAUUAUUAUUAGUGUGGGCAUUUUAUAUCCUAGUCAGUCUUCUCUUAAUUUGCUGUGGCUGUAAAAACAAUCUGCAAAUGUCAUAAGAUGAGUAACCAACGCCUUUAUACUAGAGGGGAGAAAAACUAUGAAGCUUAGUGAAAGCACAGGGAUUUGAUUCUCACUUAUAUUGAACCUGAUUUUAUAAGGAAAAAUGCCUAAGUAAAUACUAUAUACAUAACUAGGAGUUUAUAUUUUUUCAUAUCCUUUCACAUAUGUUUUCUUGUUUGAACUCCACAUCUUGUCAGACAGGUAGGUCAGGUGUAAUUAACUCUAUUUUUUAGAGAAGAAAUAAGUCAACAAGUUGCCUAAGUCAACAAGUUGAAACUGGGAUCCGUGAUCUUACUCCUCUGUCUUAUAUUUCAGCGACUAAAGUAUCCACUUCAAAAAGAAGCUGACGGAAACAUUCUAUUGAAUUCUAAAAGUCCAGAACCACUGAAAGGGUCUCAGAUACUUCCAGGACUCCUUGGGCACAUCCUGAGAACAUCUGAUUUUCAAGAUCAUUUCCCUGGUUCAUGCAAAAGUGAUCCUGAAGCAGCCCCUGCCUCCCAGUUGCUGUCAAUCAUUGAAGAUUUGACCCUGGUUUUGGACUCAGAGAGAACAGAGUUCACGUGCUCAUCCCUUCUUGUACAAGC